rnacentral:rRNA from 1 species
UGGAUCCAGACUUUGAUUAUGGCUCAGGACGAACGCUGGCGGCGCGCCUAACACAUGCAAGUCGAACGAGAGAGGGAGCUUGCUUCCUCGAUCGAGUGGCGAACGGGUGAGUAACGCGUGAGGAACCUGCCUCAAAGAGGGGGACAACAGUUGGAAACGACUGCUAAUACCGCAUAAGCCCACGGCUCGGCAUCGAGCAGAGGGAAAAGGAGCAAUCCGCUUUGAGAUAGCCUCGCGUCCGAUUAGCUAGUUGGUGAGGUAACGGCCCACCAAGGCGACGAUCGGUAGCCGGACUGAGAGGUUGAACGGCCACAUUGGGACUGAGACACGGCCCAGACUCCUACGGGAGGCAGCAGUGGGGAAUAUUGCACAAUGGGGGAAACCCUGAUGCAGCGACGCCGCGUGGAGGAAGAAGGUCUUCGGAUUGUAAACUCCUGUUGUUGAGGAAGAUAAUGACGGUACUCAACAAGGAAGUGACGGCUAACUACGUGCCAGCAGCCGCGGUAAAACGUAGGUCACAAGCGUUGUCCGGAAUUACUGGGUGUAAAGGGAGCGCAGGCGGGAGAUCAAGUUGGAAGUGAAAUCCAUGGGCUCAACCCAUGAACUGCUUUCAAAACUGAUUGUCUUGAGUAGUGCAGAGGUAGGCGGAAUUCCCGGUGUAGCGGUGGAAUGCGUAGAUAUCGGGAGGAACACCAGUGGCGAAGGCGGCCUACUGGGCACCAACUGACGCUGAGGCUCGAAAGUGGGGGUAGCAAACAGGAUUAGAUACCCUGGUAGUCCACACCGUAAACGAUGAUUACUAGGUGUUGGAGGAUUGACCCCUUCAGUGCCGCAGUUAACACAAUAAGUAAUCCACCUGGGGAGUACGACCGCAAGGUUGCAACUCAAAGGAAUUGACGGA